UACGGAGGGUGCAAGCGUUGUCCGGAUUUAUUGGGUUUAAAGGGUGCGUAGGCGGCCCUAUAAGUCAGUGGUGAAAUAUCGCAGCUUAACUGUGAGGGUGCCAUUGAUACUGUAGGGCUUGAGUGAAUUUGAGGUAGGCGGAAUUGACGGUGUAGCGGUGAAAUGCUUAGAUAUCGUCAAGAACACCGAUAGUGAAGACAGCUUACCAAGCUUCAACUGACGCUGAGGCACGAAAGUGUGGGGAUCAAACAGG
rnacentral:rRNA from 1 species